ACCCCACGAAGCUGGAUUCGCUAGUAAUCGCGCAUCAGCCAUGGCGCGGUGAAUACGUUCCCGGGCCUUGUACACACCGCCCGUCAAGCCAUGAAAGCCGGGGGCGCCUGAAGUCCGUGACCGCGAGGGUCGGCCUAGGGUGAAACCGGUGAUUGGGGCUAAGUCGUAACAAGGUACC
rnacentral:rRNA from 1 species